rnacentral:rRNA from 1 species
CCCUUAGAUGUUCUGGGCCGCACGCGCGCUACAAUGAUGAAUUCAACGAGUUCAUAACCUUGGUUGAAAAGCCUGGGUAAUCUUUUGAACUUUCGUCGUGAUGGGGCUAGACCCUUGCAAUUAUUGGUCUCCAACGAGGAAUUCCUAGUAAACGCAAGUCAUCAGCUUGCAUUGAUUACGUCCCUGCCCUUUGUACACACCGCCCGUCGCACCUACCGAUUGAAUGGUCCGGUGAAAUCUUCGGAUUGAGACUUUGAUUUCUUCACGGAAAACGCUGUUUUAAAAAGUUGAUUAAACCUUACCAUUUAGAGGAAGGUGAANUCGUANCA